rnacentral:piRNA from 1 species
CAAAGCAGCUGCUGCACCUGUGCCUG